CCUACGGGGGGCUGCAGUAGGGAAUCUUCCGCAAUGGACGAAAGUCUGACGGAGCAACGCCGCGUGAGCGAAGAAGGUCUUCGGAUCGUAAAGCUCUGUUGUUAGGGAAGAACAAGUACGGGAGGAAAUGACCGUACCUUGACGGUACCUAACGAGGAAGCCACGGCUAACUACGUGCCAGCAGCCGCGGUAAUACGUAGGUGGCAAGCGUUGUCCGGAAUUAUUGGGCGUAAAGCGCGCGCAGGCGGUCUUUUAAGUCUGAUGUGAAAUCUUGCGGCUCAACCGCAAGCGGUCAUUGGAAACUGGGAGAAUUGGGUGCAGGAGCGGGAAGCGGAAUUCCACCUGUAGCGGUGAAAUGGGUAGGGAAGUGGGGGAAAACCAGUGGCGGAGGCGGCCUUCUUGGCCGGAACUUACGCUGGGGGGCGAAAGCCGGGGGAGCAAACAGGAUUAGAUACCCCUGUAGUC
rnacentral:rRNA from 1 species